UACAGAGGGGGCUAGCGUUGUUCGGAAUUACUGGGCGUAAAGCGCACGUAGGCGGCUUUGUAAGUUAGAGGUGAAAGCCCAGGGCUUAACCCUGGAAUUGCCUUUAAGACUGCAUCGCUAGAAUCGUGGAGAGGUGAGUGGAAUUCCGAGUGUAGAGGUGAAAUUCGUAGAUAUUCGGAAGAACACCAGUGGCGAAGGCGACUCACUGGACACGUAUUGACGCUGAGGUGCGAAAGCGUGGGGAGCGAACAGG
rnacentral:rRNA from 1 species